rnacentral:rRNA from 1 species
AUAGCGUAUAUUAAAGUUGUUGCAGUUAAAAAGCUCGUAGUUGAACUUUGUGCUUGGCCGCUCGGUCAGCCUAACCGCGUGCACUGAUUGGGCCGGGCUUUUCCUUCUGGCUAACCUCAUGCCCUUUACUGGGUGUGUUGGGGAUCCAGGACUUUUACUUUGAAAAAAUUAGAGUGUUCAAAGCAGGCCUUUGCUCGAAUACAUUAGCAUGGAAUAAUAGAAUAGGACGGCGGUUCUAUUUUGUUGGUUUCUAGAGCCACCGUAAUGAUUAAUAGGGAUAGUCGGGGGCAUCAGUAUUCAAUUGUCAGAGGUGAAAUUCUUGGAUUUAUUGAAGACUAACUAUUG